UAUCUAGAAAUUGCUGACUCAUUCUUCAGGAUUCUGAUCAAUUUGUCCUUCUCACUGGAGUCUUUCCCAAGUCCUGCUGUUCCUGACACAGCUUCUAAAGCUCUGGGAUUUCCUGAGCUGGUGACCACAGGAGAACUGUUUGUUCUGAUGAGGCAACACUUGGCAGACCCUGUAGUUUCAGGGUAAGAGUAGAGCUUCAUCAAAUAGCUGAGAAAUUUCCCAUCAAAAUGCUCAUCUUAUUACCAAGAGGAGCUGCAUCUGUUGAAUGUGUUGGUUCCUGUUUUAAGGUGUUGCCAUUCAACUUCUUCAAAAGCAUGAAAGAAUUAGUUGAAGAACUGGAGAGCAACUCUUCACUUGAAGAAUGUUUGGCUGUUCUCUUGACCUGGGAACGUAUUGGCUGCCUCCACACCCAGAAGGGCAUUGAGAAGGAGAAUUCAGCGCAAGCUAUAGCUCCUUGGCUAUGUUUGCUUGAGGUGGUUCGGCUGAAAGAGCUCACACCUUUUCACCCAUAAAGGAGGAAAACAAAAGGAGAGUCUACCAGGCAAGCAGCUCUCUACUUGUAAGGUUAUUACUUCAUUUCCAAGGUUCCUGGUCAUUGUUUGGAUAAUAAAUUCUGUCCUUUUCUCAGCUUACUUAACUAGUACUGAAAUGGCUGCCCCUUUCUCGCUAAUCUGAUGUUUCUAGGUUAAAUAAAACUCUAGUCUUCA